UACGAAGGGGGCUAGCGUUGCUCGGAAUCACUGGGCGUAAAGGGUGCGUAGGCGGGUCUUUAAGUCAGGGGUGAAAUCCUGGAGCUCAACUCCAGAACUGCCUUUGAUACUGAAGAGCUCGAGUCCGGGAGAGGUGAGUGGAACUGCGAGUGUAGAGGUGAAAUUCGUAGAUAUUCGCAAGAACACCAGUGGCGAAGGCGGCUCACUGGCCCGGUACUGACGCUGAGGUGCGAAAGCGUGGGGAGCGAACAGG
rnacentral:rRNA from 1 species